rnacentral:rRNA from 1 species
UACGUAGGGACCAAGCGUUGUUCGGAUUUACUGGGCGUAAAGGGCGCGUAGGCGGCGUGGUAAGUCACUUGUGAAAUCUCCGAGCUUAACUCGGAACGGUCAAGUGAUACUGCUGUGCUAGAGUGCAGAAGGGGCAAUCGGAAUUCUUGGUGUAGCGGUGAAAUGCGUAGAUAUCAAGAGGAACACCUGAGGUGAAGACGGGUUGCUGGGCUGACACUGACGCUGAGGCGCGAAAGCUAGGGUAGCGAACCGG